GAUGAAGAACGUAGCAAAAUGCGAUAAGUAAUGUGAAUUGCAGAAUUCAGUGAAUCAUCGAAUCUUUGAACGCACAUUGCGCCCGCCAGUAUUCUGGCGGGCAUGCCUGUUCGAGCGUCAUUUCAACCCUCAAGCACAGCUUGGUGUUGGGACUCGCGUUAAUUCGCGUUCCUCAAAUUGAUUGGCGGUCACGUCGAGCUUCCAUAGCGUAGUAGUAAAACCCUCGUUACUGGUAAUCGUCGCGGCCACGCCGUUAAACCCCAACUUCUGAAUGUUGACCUCGGAUCAGGUAGGAAUACCCGCUGAACUUAAGCAUACCAAUAAGCGGAGGA
rnacentral:misc_RNA from 1 species